CUUGGUCAUUUAGAGGAAGUAAAAGUCGUAACGAGGUUUCCGUAGGUGAACCUGCGGAAGGAUCAUUACUGGGUCACCGAGCGCCUCGGCGCUCACCCCCACCCUUCGCUUCCCGCCCCAUGAUCGGCGUCAGGCGGGCCCCCUCUGGGGGGCCCUCCGGCCGAAAUCCAAACCCUCAGCAACCCUUUGCAGCCUGAAUAAAAAAGCAAAUAGUUAAAACUUUCAACAACGGAUCUCUUGGUUCUGGCAACGAUGAAGAACGCAGCGAAAUGCGAUAAGUAAUGUGAAUUGCAGAAUUCAGUGAAUCAUCGAAUCUUUGAACGCACAUUGCGCCCCCUGGUAUUCCGGGGGGCACACCUGUUCGAGCGCCAUUUCAACCCUCAAGCCUCGCUUGGUGAUGGGCCCCGCCCGUGGGCGGGCCCGAAACUCGUGGGCGUCGUCGUUCGGCUCCAAGCGUAGCAAAACCCUCGCUUGGGCGCCCGGACGGCGGCCGCCCGGAAACGAAUUUUUACAAGGUUGGCCUCGGAUCAGGUGGGGAUACCCGCUGAACUUAAGCAUAUCAAUAAGCGGAGGA
rnacentral:rRNA from 1 species